GAUGAACGCUGGCGGCGCGCCUAACACAUGCCAGUCGAACGAUUAAAGCACCUUCGGGUGUGUAUAAAGUGGCGAACGGCUGAGUAACACGUGGGCAACCUGCCCCUCUCAUUGGGAUAGCCACGGGAAACCGUGGAUAAUACCGAAUACUUCGGGACUUCCGCAUGGAAGACUCGAGAAAGCUCCGGCGGAGAGGGAUGGGCCCGCGGCCUGUUAGCUUGUUGGUGGGGUAAUGGCCUACCAAGGCAAUGAUGGGUAGCUGGGUUGAGAGACCGACCAGCCAGAUUGGGACUGAGACACGGCACAGACUCCUACGGGAGGCAGCAGUGGGGAAUCUUGCACAAUGGGCGAAAGCCUGAUGCAGCGACGCCGCGUGCGGGAUGAAGGCCUUCGGGUUGUAAACCGCUUUCAGCAGGGACGAGGCGAAAGUGACGGUACCUGCAGAAGAAGCCCCGGCUAACUACGUG
rnacentral:rRNA from 1 species